UGGUGGAGUGAUUUGUCUGGUUAAUUCCGUUAACGAACGAGACCCCUGCCUGCUAAAUAGCUUGUCUAGUGAUUUUUCACUGGUGAGGCUUCUUAGAGGGACGUGCAUUCUAUUAGAUGCAGGAAGAUAGGGGCAAUAACA
rnacentral:rRNA from 1 species